AUUGAACGCUGGCGGCAGGCCUAACACAUGCAAGUCGAACGAGCGGCGGACGGGUGAGUAAUGUAUGGGAAAAUGCCUGAUGGAGGGGGAUAACUACUGGAAACGGUAGCUAAUACCGCAUACCAUCGGAUGAGCCCAGAUGGGAUUAGCUAGUAGGUGGGGUAAAGGCUCACCUAGGCGACGAUCCCUAGCGUGUCUGAGAGGAUGACCAGCGACACUGGACCUGAGCCACGGUCCAGACUCCUACGGGAGGCAGCAGUGGGGAAUAUUGCCCAAUGGGCGCAAGCCUGAUUCAGCCAUGCCGCGUGUUUGAAGAAGGCCUUCGGGUUGUAAAGCACUUUCAGCGAGGAGGCGUUACUCGCAGAAGAAGCACCGGCUAACUCCGUGCCAGCAGCCGCGGUAAUUC
rnacentral:rRNA from 1 species